rnacentral:rRNA from 1 species
AUUGAACGCUGGCGGCAGGCCUAACACAUGCAAGUCGAACGAGUGGCGGACGGGUGAGUAAUGUCUGUGAAACUGCCCGAUGGAGGGGGAUAACUACUGGAAACGGUAGCUAAUACCGCAUACCAUUGGAUGUGCCCAGAGGGGAUUAGCUAGUAGGUGGGGUAACGGCGCACCUAGGCGACGAUCCCUAGCUGGUCUGAGAGGAUGACAAGCCACACGGGCACUGAGACACUGUCCAGACGCCUACGGUAGGCAGCAGUGGGGAAGAUUGCACAAUGGGCGCAAGCCUGAUGCAUCCAUGCCGCGUGUAUGAAGAAGGCCUUAGGGUUGUAAAGUACUUUCAGCGAGGAGGCGUUACUCGCAGAAGAAGCACCGGCUAACUCCGUGCCAGCCGCCGCGGUAAUUC